UGUUUUCCCAUGCUAAUGACUAUCAAUAUGAUACUAUACGCGGGAAAAAGGGUGGUUUGACUCUUGAGGAAAGAGAAAGUCUAAUUACAAAAGUGUUUCCUUCAAUAUAUACAACACUUUAUGACGCCCUGUGUGAUUAUGCAAAAAAUUCUAGUUGGGGAUAUACAGAGUCAUUUUCAGAUGUUCUUAAAAGAUUUUCAAGUUGUGGAUCUCAAUAUUGAUUUCCUGUUCCUGUUUGCAGGUAGGUGAAGGGGGUCGAUAAAUGAAUUGAUCCACUAGAUGCAUACCCUCUGAUGUCUGCAACACUAGUAGCAAGCCUGAUUUAUUUUUUGGUUCAGACAGAUCAUUGUGUUGCUUGAGAUUUAAGUAUAGAGCUGACUUUUUCUUAUGUGAGCUAAGCUACUUCUGGAGAAGUUAAACAUGGAACUACUGUUGUUUACGCAUGGGGUUUUUAUUCUCAAAAGAAAUAUGUCUGUAAAAUUGUACCUGAAUUUUCUAUCCCCGGAUCAAUGUGCAGCAAGUUGAGACCUUAAAAUUUAUGCUUCUAAACAUAUCUGUUAAUUUUAUGCUAAAGCUUGACUCAUUGAGCUUCCUACUUAUGCACUCAAUUUGACAAUAAUAAUGCUAGCAACAAUCUACUUUUUCUACUUCUAGUAUAUGAAAUUAAAAGAGGU